rnacentral:lncRNA from 1 species
CGAAACCCGAUUCAAAAACCAACACAUAUUUUCCUUCUUUCUUUGUGUAAAAACUAUCUAAUAUGUAAUGCACCUCUCCUUUUUCAAUAAAAUGUCCAUGUAUUUUAACCUUAAAAAAGAGAAAAAAAAAGAAGAUAAACAUUGUUCUCCACCCACUCAAUUCCAUCCCUUUUGUCUAAGUCAUUCUAGAAGGGGACUUUGACUAGUAGCUAUCUCAAUAAUUUGUCACCUCCAAUAGUUAAAUCAAGGUAAAACUUCAAAAACCUCCCCCGUGGUUUCGUAGUUUCUCACUUUGCCCCCCUGUGGUUUAAAAUGUAUCAAAUUGUCCCCCUGUGAUUUUGUUUUUAUCUCUUCGGUAGCUUUUUCGUUAAUAUUUCAUUAAAUUAUAUAAAAAAAACUUCAGAUACCCAUCUAGAUUUAUCAAAUAUUCAUUUUAGUACCCUUUAAUUUUAACUUUAUCACUGAUUUAAGAAAAAAAAAUAAUGAAAUUGAUAAGAAAAAGAGAAAAAAGAAACCACAGGGGGGCAAAUUGAUGCAUUUUAAACCACAUGGAGGCAAAGUGAGAAACUACGAAACCAUAUGGGGUUUUUUUGAAGUUUU